GAAGCAGAACCUGAGGAAGGAAGAAUACGCUACUACACCGUCGUUAUAUUUUUUUUCUUCUUAUUUUUUUUUUUUGUUUUCUAUCUUUUUUUUUCAUUUAUUUUUCAUUUAUUUUUCUUAGGUAAACAAGCAUUUUUUGCAAUUUUAUUCCCUUCAUAUUAUUGUCCUCUCUCUCUCUCUCUCUCUUUCUUUAUUUUUAUUACUCGAAUUAUUACCAUAUCACCGACGUUUCCGAUAUUCCAACGUGUUAACUUAUUCAUUCAUUGACGUUAUUAUUUCGUUGAUAUUCUAAACACAAAUGUACAUACGUUCGUAUUUUAUGGACGUCUCCAUUGAAGCAGAAAAUUUAAGAAAAUUUGAUUAUACGAGGAGUUGGAUUCGAAUCAGGUUGUCGAAUUAUUUCUAGAACAGAUGUACUUCAUUUUUUAUCAUUUUUAUGAAUAGAGAAAGGAUAGAGAAGAGAGAGAGAGAGAAAGAGAGAGAGAGAAAGAUAAUGAGGGGCGACAGUUGCUUGUUAAUUCGUUUUGCAUUCGUUUACGCGACAUCGCGGGACGCGCUUGCACAUGUGGAUAAAACAGUUCAUUUAUUAGUCCAAGCACACUUCAUUUUCUUCCUCGAAAUGACUCGAAAAGUCAUAAAAAUUUAUGAAUCAAGGGAGAAAGUUAUCAUCGUAUAUAUUCUAGUUUUUGAUAUCGCACUCAUGAUUCCGCUUUUGAUCUGAUUCAUAUAAAUGUUGUAUAAAUUUUAACAUACCAUUAUUAUAUUUAUAUAUAUAUAUAUAUAUAUAUGUACAUACACACACAUUACUAACUAAAUUCACACGCCUACACGAUAUUCUAGAUUUUUAGCUUUUUGUUCUUUUGACGUCGUUUCGUUCCUUCUUCUAAGACUUUCAACUCUUACAUUUUUACUCAAAAACGAUGUGAAAAAGUCCAUCCGGUUGCACACGAAUCGGAUUAACUCGUUUUUGAAAGCAUCAGAAGCCUUUUCAAAGCAACUCACUCUUUUUCUCUCUCUCUCACUCUCUCUCUCUCUCUCUUCCACUCUUUCUCUAGUUUUUAUCUUAUCUCUGUCUCUCUCUGUCUUUCCCUCUAUUUCUUUUUCCUUAUCUCUCUAUUUCUUAUUUCGAUCAAUUUUAUUACAUACGAAUCCAAACACAUUUUUUUUUAUCUAAUUAUCGUCAUCAUCAUCCUCAUCAUGCACGAUUAUAACUCGAGAUCCUCAUUGAAUAUUUCAAGAUAGCCAGGAAUUAACGAAAUACCAGCAAAAUUAUGAACGUAAUUUAGUGGAAACCCGUGGCGGAAGGGAAACCGCUGUGCGUUAAAACAAUGGCCGGGAUACGGUGCGAAAGUUCACUUCAUCCCCAUUCUUCGUCAUUGAAUUUUCCCGAGGCUAACUCGAGGACGUCUACGAGAUCUACGAUUCUUUGGAAACUGAAUAUGCUCGUCGUGUAUCCUACACGAUUUUAUUUCAAAAGCGUAUAAAAUAUAUAUAUAUAUAUAUAUAUAUAUAUAUAUAUAUAUAUAUAUAUAAUAAAAAAUUAAAAAGAAAGGAAAAGAAAAAUCUCUUACGAACGCUAAUGUGACGUUAAGAAAUCGGUGAUAAAUGAGUGACCGUGACGAAGGUAGAACGAUCUUUAUCCCACGGACUAACAAAUUGAUCGGAGGUGUGAUUCGUGGUGAUAUUAGAUAUAUAAUAUUUGGUAGUUACGUAGGAAACAAAAGGAUAUAAGCAGAAAGACAGUUCCUUAUUGUGUUAUAACUUGGUUGCUUUUCUCUUAUGCUUCUCAUCUUUCUUUUCCUUUUGUCUUUUUUUUUGCUCUCUCUCUCUCUCUCUCUCUCUCUCUUUCUCAAAUUAUAAAGAAACUUUUUAUCAAAGUAAAGGAGUGUACCAGAAGGAAUAUGUCUUUCAUUUUACUUCAUAUAUUUUUUAUUUUUUAUUUUUUUUUUUAUUUCUUUUUCAUAGAUAUACUUGCCAGGUUAGUUUAAAUGUAAUACGUGGUGUAGCAUAAAAGUAAUGCGAGAUUUAUAACGUAUAAAAUUUUACCGUAAACUUUUUAUAAUUCCAGGAUUUUCAUUUUUACGAAAAUAAAUAAACAUUUACGCGUAUGCGAAUGUUUCUAAAAGGACAGAAUUCUGUUAGGAAACGUUGUUUAAUUUACCGUAAACGUUAGGUAUAAAUAAACAACAGUCAGUAAUUAAUAUCAUAAUAAAUCAACGUACAUUAAAUACUAUAGAAAAUCCGACUAAAUUCAUUGUCGCCUUUAACAAAAUUAAUCCAAUUACUUUUACGCCACAUCGCAUAUCUGCGUUGUUUGUGUUACAUUUGAAAAUGAGAGCAUCGAUAAAUUGGACAAUAUAAUUGUAUAAGUAUAAACGUGUUUCUCCGGGAGUAAUGUCAAUGAUUCGCCCGUGUAUGAUUCGACUAAUUGAAAAAAAAAGAAAAAAAGAAAAAAAAAGAAAAAAAGAAAAAGAAAAAAAAAGUACCUAUCCAAUUGAAUUGUAUAACGCUAAUUAGGAUUUCGCUCGAACCGUACCAAUGAUUUUCGAACGUUUUAUCGGAGUCGUGUGAAACUUUACUUUUAUAUGUGAUCAAAUAAAUUUUUAGGAAACUCAAAAAA